GCAGAGGGGUGUUCAGUGGUAGAAUUCUCACCUUCCAUGCAGGAGACCCAGGUUUGAUUCCUGGCCAAUGUG
rnacentral:tRNA from 1 species